AUUUAACUGACGAGUCUCAAACAGGACGAAACAUGCGUUGUGGAU
rnacentral:hammerhead_ribozyme from 1 species